rnacentral:sRNA from 1 species
GCUGGGUGUGAUGGCACACACCUGUAAUUCCAGCUACUGGGGAGGCCGAGACAGGGGAAUCGCUUGAACCCAGGAGGCCGAGGUUGCAGUGAGCCAACAUUGCACCACUGCACUCCAGCCUGGGUGACAAAGUGAGACGCUGUCUCAG